UUUNCAAGUAUUGAACUGCUGCCUUGGU
rnacentral:piRNA from 1 species